rnacentral:rRNA from 1 species
CAGAGGGUGCGAGCGUUGUCCGGAAUCACUGGGCGUAAAGGGCGCGUAGGCGGCCGCUUAAGCGUGUCGUGAAAGCGCGGGGCUCAACCCCGCGCCGGCGAUGCGAACUGGGGGGCUGGAGCAUGUCAGAGGCAGGCGGAAUUCCGGGUGUAGCGGUGGAAUGCGUAGAGAUCCGGAAGAACACCGGUGGCGAAGGCGGCCUGCUGGGACAUGGCUGACGCUGAGGCGCGACAGCGUGGGGAGCAAACAGGAUUAGAUACCCUGGUAGUCCACGCCGUAAACGAUGGGUACUAGGUGCUUGGGGGAGCGACCCCCUGGGUGCCGGCGCUAACGCAUUAAGUACCCCGCCUGGGGAGUACGGCCGCAAGGCUG